UGCAUCGAUGAAGAACGCAGCGAAAUGCGAUAAGUAAUGUGAAUUGCAGAAUUCAGUGAAUCAUCGAAUCUUUGAACGCACAUUGCGCCCCCUGGUAUUCCGGGGGGCAUGCCUGUUCGAGCGUCAUUUCACCACUCAAGCCUCGCUUGGUAUUGGGCGACGCGGUCCGCCGCGCGCCUCAAAUCGACCGGCUGGGUCUUCUGUCCCCUCAGCGUUGUGGAAACUAUUCGCUAAAGGGUGCCACGGGAGGUCACGCCGUAAAACAAGCCCAUUUCUAAGGUUGACCUCGGAUCAGGUAGGGAUACCCGCUGAACUUAAGCAUAUCAAUAAGCGGAGGA
rnacentral:rRNA from 1 species